AAAAUAGGACAGGUGGGUGGAAAUAGCAGCACUCUUUAUAAUUUGAAUUGUUCAAAUUCUUGGUCCUUGCUCAAAUAUAACCCAUGCAAAAUUUAUCCAAAUCCGAAAUUGUUUAGCAAUGUUGAUGCUCUUUUUGGGAGGGUCAACUUAGGUAAAGGAGUAUGGGAUCUUCAGCAGGGGAGAAGGUGUGGACCUUCAGUAUUUGGAUAUCAUGCAGAAGUCAAUGAGGAAGAAGCAGUCGUCAAGCUCCG
rnacentral:lncRNA from 1 species